rnacentral:rRNA from 1 species
AUUGAACGCUGGCGGCAGGCCUAACACAUGCAAGUCGAGCGGAUGAAGGGAGCUUGCGCCUGGAUUCAGCGGCGGACGGGUGAGUAAUGCCUAGGAAUCUGCCUGGUAGUGGGGGAUAACGUCCGGAAACGGGCGCUAAUACCGCAUACGUCCUGAGGGAGAAAGUGGGGGAUCUUCGGACCUCACGCUAUCAGAUGAGCCUAGGUCGGAUUAGCUAGUUGGUGGGGUAAAGGCCUACCAAGGCGACGAUCCGUAACUGGUCUGGGAGGAUGAUCAGUCACACUGGAACUGGGACACGGUCCAGACUCCUACGGGAGGCAGCAGUGGGGAACAUUGGACAAUGGGCGAAAGCCUGAUCCAGCCAUGCCGCGUGUGUGAAGAAGGUCUUCGGAUUGUAAAGCACUUUAAGUUGGGAGGAAGGGCAGUAAGUUACUACCUUGCUGCUUUGACGUUACCAACAGAAUAAGCACCGGCUAACUUCGUG